rnacentral:rRNA from 1 species
GACGAACGCUGGCGGCGUGCUUAACACAUGCAAGUCGAACGGAAAGGCCCCUUUGGGGGUACUCGAGUGGCGAACGGGUGAGUAACACGUGAGUAACCUGCCCUUGACUUCGGGAUAACUUCAGGAAACUGGGGCUAAUACCGGAUAGGAAUCCUUGCUGCAUGGUGGGGGUUGGAAAGCUUCGGCGGUUUUGGAUGGACUCGCGGCUUAUCAGCUUGUUGGUGGGGUAGUGGCUUACCAAGGCUUUGACGGGUAGCCGGCCUGAGAGGGCGACCGGCCACAUUGGGACUGAGAUACGGCCCAGACGCCUACGGGAGGCAGCAGGGGGGAAUAUUGCACAAUGGGCGGAAGCCUGAUGCAGCAACGCCGCGUGCGGGAGGACGGCCUUCGGGUUGUAAACCGCUUUCAGCAGGGGCGAAGCUUGUGGUGACGGCACCUGCAGAAGAAGCACCGGCUAACUACGUG